CUCCGAAACAGCCCGUGCAUAGGCUCCUGCUGGAGUUGGUGGUUGGGGAUCAGAUCAAAAGGGAGUUAAGCUGUAGCUGAAAAACAGAUGGGGAGUUGGUGAGGUGGAAGGAGAGCAUAAGCAAUUACUGCAGACAGCUGGCAGGGCUGCGAGGCAGCCCUGACCACCAGUGGUGGAAGGGAGCAGAGAGCCAAGGGAUCGUCGGCACCACAGUUUGCACCAAUUUGCAGGAAACAGGCAUAUAAUGCUUGAGUUUUAGAGCAGAAAAUGAGAUUUUUGAAGCUGAUGAUGGUGUGAUAAUCUGCACCUCAUCGUGCUGGCAUCAGGAACCUCAAAAGUCAGUGAUGCCCCUCAGUAAUGUGAUAUCCUGCUUGGGUACGUGGAGAGGGACCCAGCAACAUCAACAGCAGCCUGGCUUCUGUGGGGCUCUGGAUAAGUGCCCAGUAAGGAACAGGAGCUGUGACUGUACGUGCUGUACAGCAAGGCUGCAUUCACUAUCAAAGGCCCUACAGAGCAGAGAAUGCUAUCUGAAGACUGAUGAAUCCCUACUGAAGGAGACCCUGUGAUGUGGCUGUCCACAGAAGCAGAG
ensembl:lncRNA